rnacentral:rRNA from 1 species
UACGGAGGGUGCGAGCGUUGUCCGGAAUCAUUGGGCGUAAAGGGCGCGUAGGUGGCGGGACAAGCGUGCGGUGAAAACUCGGGGCUUAACCCCGAGCCUGCUUCUGAUACGGGCAGACUAGAGGUAUGCAGGGGAGAACGGAAUUCCUGGUGUAGCGGUGAAAUGCGUAGAUAUCAGGAGGAACACCUGUGGUGUAGACAGCUUACUGGACCAUUUCUGACGCUGAGACACGAAAGCGUGGGGAGCAAACAGG